rnacentral:rRNA from 1 species
UGGGGAAUAUUGCACAAUGGAGGGAACUCUGAUGCAGCGACGCCGCGUGAACGAAGAAGGCUUUCGAGUCGUAAAGUUCUUUUAUAUGGGAAGAUAAUGACGGUACCAUAAGAAAAAGCCCCGGCUAACUACGUGCCAGCAGCCGCGGUAAUACGUAGGGGGCUAGCGUUGUCCGGAAUCACUGGGCGUAAAGGGUUCGCAGGCCGAAAUGCAAGUCAGGUGUAAAAGGCAGUAGCUUAACUACUGUAAGCAUUUGAAACUGCAUAUCUUGAGAAGAGUAGAGGUAAGUGGAAUUUUUAGUGUAGCGGUGAAAUGCGUAGAUAUUAAAAAGAAUACCGGUGGCGAGGGCGACUUACUGGGCUCAUUCUGACGCUGAGGAACGAAAGCGUGGGUAGCAAACAGG